GAUGAAGAACGUAGCGAAAUGCGAUAAGUAAUGUGAAUUGCAGAAUUCAGUGAAUCAUCGAAUCUUUGAACGCACAUUGCGCCCGCCAGUAUUCUGGCGGGCAUGCCUGUCUGAGCGUCAUUUCAACCCUCAUGCCCCUAGGGCGUGGUGUUGGGGAUCGGCCAAAGCCCGCGAGGGACGGCCGGCCCCUAAAUCUAGUGGCGGACCCGUCGUGGCCUCCUCUGCGAAGUAGUGAUAUUCCGCAUCGGAGAGCGACGAGCCCCUGCCGUUAAACCCCCAACUUUCCAAGGUUGACCUCAGAUCAGGUAGGAAUACCCGCUGAACUUAAGCAUAUCAAAUAAGCGGAGGA
rnacentral:misc_RNA from 1 species